AUGUUGCAGGAGGCAUUAAUUGUGCUUUACCGUUGCGUUCAACAUGUCAGACAAAGCGACACAAGCAUUUAUAAAUCAGAUCCGUGAACGAGAGGGUUAUGCUGAAGAAAUCGUUUCUGAUGAGAAUGUUUUGUCUGAGGCGCAAGACAUCUUCGAGGCCUUUGUUAAAGUACAAAUGCGUAAAGAUGCGAGACAAGCUGAAACAUCGGAAGCUGAAAACAUAGCACGUCGACUGGUAGAGGUCGCUGAUGAGAUGGAAUGUGACCUUAAUCAAAUGUUUGAGAAAAAACAAAGCCUACAGCGACCUCACUUCGUAUGAGAAAUUCAAAAAAAAUGCAAAACCAUAUUUAAAACGUGUCGUGACAUGGGGUGGAAUUAUACUGGUUUUCUACUUUGCAUACUGGUUUUAUAAAACACACUGAAAGUGGAAGACAGGUUGGUGAUGCUAUGGCGUGUCUUAAAUCACAUAUUAAAAGGCUCUUCAUUGAAGAAUAUGUAUCUGGGUGGAUUGCUAAACAAGGUGGUUGGAAAGCGAGCAUAUCCGCCAAUAUAGCGCCUCCAGUAAUAAGCAUCGGUGGAGAGAUCAUUAAAAAGGUGGCCCUUGUGGGCCUUAUUGCAGUCGGCGUGGUGGUCGUAUGGAAGAAUAGGGAUAAGCUACGUGAGAUAUGGAACAUUAAACCUGGAUUAGAAGAAACUAUAAUAUAUUCAUGAAAACCUGUGCCCGGAGACACUUAAAUGUAUUGGUGAUACUAGCAUAAAUAAACGUGAGUCUUCGAGCUUUUGUUAAGAGUUUCGAGCAUGAAUCUAUUAUAAAAUGUCUGCUUUAUUUUGUUAGAAGUUUUGCAUAUCUGGUAAAAUAUGAUUGGUAA